rnacentral:tRNA from 1 species
GCCUUUAUAGCUUAAAGGAAGAGCAUCUUCAUGGUAGGAAGAAGGUUGCGGGUUCGAUUCUCGCUAAAGGCU